rnacentral:rRNA from 1 species
AGUGAACGCUGGCGGUAGGCCUAACACAUGCAAGUCGAACGGCAGCACAGUAAGAGCUUGCUCUUACGGGUGGCGAGUGGCGGACGGGUGAGGAAUACAUCGGAAUCUACUUUUUCGUGGGGGACAACGUAGGGAAACUUACGCUAAUACCGCAUACGACCUACGGGUGAAAGCAGGGGAUCUUCGGACCUUGCGCGAUUGAAUGAGCCGAUGUCGGAUUAGCUAGUUGGCGGGGUAAAGGCCCACCAAGGCGACGAUCCGUAGCUGGUCUGAGAGGAUGAUCAGCCACACUGGAACUGAGACACGGUCCAGACUCCUACGGGAGGCAGCAGUGGGGAAUAUUGGGCAAUGGGCGCAAGCCUGAUCCAGCCAUACCGCGUGAGUGAAGAAGGCCUUCGGGUUGUAAAGCCCUUUUGUUGGGAAAGAAAAGCAGCAGGUUAAUACCCCGCUGUUCUGACGGUACCCAAAGAAUAAGCACCGGCUAACUUCGUG